rnacentral:rRNA from 1 species
UGGGGAAUUUUGGACAAUGGGGGAAACCCUGAUCCAGCCAUCCCGCGUGUGCGAUGAAGGCCUUCGGGUUGUAAAGCACUUUUGGCAGGAAAGAAACGUCAUGGGUUAAUACCCCGUGAAACUGACGGUACCUGCAGAAUAAGCAUCGGCUAACUACGUGCCAGCAGCCGCGGUAAUACGUAGGGUGCAAGCGUUAAUCGGAAUUACUGGGCGUAAAGCGUGCGCAGGCGGUUCGGAAAGAAAGAUGUGAAAUCCCAGAGCUCAACUUUGGAACUGCAUUUUUAACUACCGGGCUAGAGUGUGUCAGAGGGAGGUGGAAUUCCGCGUGUAGCAGUGAAAUGCGUAGAUAUGCGGAGGAACACCGAUGGCGAAGGCAGCCUCCUGGGAUAACACUGACGCUCAUGCACGAAAGCGUGGGGAGCAAACAGG